rnacentral:rRNA from 1 species
GGAGAGUGGCGGAAGGGUGAGUAAUACGUGGGUAAUUUACCUCGAAGUUGGGGAUAACUCUCCGAAAGGAGAGAUAAUACCGAAUAUGGCCGGGUUUUCGCAUGGAGGCCCAGUCAAAGGUGGGGAUCCUUCGGGACCUGCCGCUUUGAGAGAAGCCCGCGUCCUAUCAGCUUGUUGGUGAGGUAAUGGCUCACCAAGGCUUACGGGUAGCUGGUCUGAGAGGAUGGUCAGCCACACUGGGACUGAGACACUGCCCAGACUCCUACGGGAGGCUGCAGUCGAGGAUCAUUUGCAAUGCGCGCAAGCGUGACAAUGCGACGCCGCGUGGAGGAUGACGGCCUUCGGGUUGUAAACUCCUGUCAUUUGGGAACAACCGCGUGGGGGCGAAUAACCCCUGCGCCUGAUAGUACCAGAAGAGGAAGUCACGGCUAACUCUGUGCCAGCAGCCGCGGUAAUACAGAGGUGGCAAGCGUUGUUCGGAUUCACUGGGCGUAAAGGGUGCGUAGGUGGCUUCGUAUGUCGGAUGUGAAAUCUCACUGCUUAACGGUGAAACUGCAUUCGAAACUGCGGGGCUUGAGUACCGGAGGGGAGAGCUCUCUCUGGACGGAUACUGACACUGAGGCACGAAAGCUGGGGGAGCAAACAGGAUUAGAUACCCUGGUAGUCCCAGCUGUAAACGGUGUGCACUAGGUGUGGGGGGAGUUGAUCCUCUCCGUGCUGAAGCUAACGCGUUAAGUGCACCGCCUGGGGAGUACGGCCGCAAGGCUAAAACUCAAAGAAAUUGACGGGGGCCCGCACAAGCGGAGGAGCAUGUGGCUUAAUUCGAUGCAACGCGAAGAACCUUACCUGGGCUUGACAUGCAACUGCAGUCCCGGUGAAAAUCGGGAUGCCUUCGAGGGUGUUGCACAGGUGCUGCAUGGCUGUCGUCAGUUCGUGCCGUGAGGUGUUGGGUUAAGUCCCGCAACGAACGCAACCCUUAUGUUUAGUUGCCAUCAUCGGUGAUGAGCCGGUGAGCACUCUAAACAGACUGCCCGUGAUAAGCGGGAGGAAGGUGGGGAUGACGUCAAGUCCGUAUGGCCUUUAUGCCCAGGGCUGCACACGUGCUACAAUGGUCGGUACAGAGGGAAGCAAAGCCGCGAGGUGGAGCAAAUCCUGAGAACCGGCCCCAGUUCGGAUCGAAGUCUGCAAUUCGACUUCGUGAAGUUGGAUUCGCUAGUAACGGCGUAUCAGCUACGGCGCCGUGAAUACGUUCCCGGGCCUUGUACACACCGCCCGUCACAUCACGAAAGCCGUUUGCACCCGAAGUCGUUGAUCCAACCCUACCCGGGAGGAAGGCGCCGAAGGUGUGGAUGGUGAUUGGGAUGAAGUCGAAACAAGGU